rnacentral:rRNA from 1 species
CAGUCGCCGCGGUAAUACGGAGGGAGCUAGCGUUGUUCGGAAUUACUGGGCGUAAAGCGCACGUAGGCGGCUAUUCAAGUCAGAGGUGAAAGCCCGGGGCUCAACCCCGGAACUGCCUUUGAAACUAGAUAGCUUGAAUCCAGGAGAGGUGAGUGGAAUUCCGAGUGUAGAGGUGAAAUUUGUAGAUAUUCGGAAGAACACCAGUGGCGAAGGCGGCUCACUGGACUGGUAUUGACGCUGAGGUGCGAAAGCGUGGGGAGCAAACAGGAUUAGAUACCCCGGUAGUCCCUGUCUCUUAUAA